rnacentral:tRNA from 1 species
GGGCCCGUAGCUCAGCUAGGCUAGAGCGCCAGGCUCAUAACCUGUCGGUCGGGUGUUCAAAUCGCCCCGGGCCCACCA